GAAAGUGUUAUCAAUUUUGAUAAAUGCAUUUCAUUUCAUAAAAUAAAAGAAUAUUUCAAUUAUUUUUCAGGGAUAAUGCAUUUGUUAGGGUCGGCGGGAAUAAAAAAGCAUGAAAAAGUGAAUUUUAUUUUUAUUCUGGAAAUCGGCAAAAUCGGGUCCGCGGAUCCGUAAACCAACAAAUUAAAAAAUUCUGGCCCUAAAACCAAUGUUUUAUGAAAUAUUCUUUAAAAAUUAGAGUUAUAUUUCUUUGUCCAUAAUAGUAGUUGAAUCAACAUAAAUCAAUGCUAUAUAUAAUAUAUAAUACAAUAUUCACUUUUACUACCAACUAAUAAAUUAAAACAAUCUUUUCCAUUCAGUGAUUACAAGCACUUUGAUUACCAUUCUAGGGUUAUGCCCCUUUCAUACAUGUGACAGAGUUGUCAAGCCACAACUGGAGAUUUGGAAAUUUUCAGCUGGAGUUUGGGCCUCAUAACUGGAGAUUUUUUAUCGACGUACGCAAUGGUUUUUUCGUGUGUGUUUAAACUGCAUAUCUUCCUUUUUUGUUAAAAAAAAACCCAAUGAUUUCAUACCUUCAAGCACCUGCAUAGCCAUUUUUACUUAGUAAAAUAGAAGAUAAAGGGGGGGGGGUCAAAUAUUUAUUCAUCAUAUAUAGUUCAAAGUUAAAGUGAUCAGCCAUCAUAUUUAGUUCAAAGAUAAAGUGAUCAGCCAUCAUACAUAGUUGGCAAAAAGUACCUCUGCUUUAGCCACAUUGUCAACUUUAGUACCACUACUGAACAUGUUUGUAAAAGAAGGUGUUGAAUUGAUAGAGUUGUGGGCUUUCUGGUGGGUAGCUGUCUCCAUAUUUUUGGUCAAGUAAUUAGGGCCCCAUAGUCAGCUUUGCAUGAAGUGUAGUAAGCAUUGUCUUGACCCUUGGCACUGGACUUGCACCAUUUUUAAAUUUGGCUAGAUACUCAUUACUGUGUCUUCUUUAAUAUUAUGCUGGGGUACAUGUAUUUGGUGAUAACAUGAUACAGUUUGUAUUUUGUCAAAUUAUAAGACAAACACACUUAUAUAGGUAUUCCAUUGGCCUAGAUAGAAGACAAGACAUAAAUAUCAUAUUUGAGUUGAUUUUAUUGUCUUUGAGGUUCAGUAUAAACUAAGUCUGUUCCAUGUUUUCAACAGCAUCACAAUUUAUAAAGUCGAUGUUUAUACAACUGUUCCAUUGUCAGUAUCACUUUUAAUCAUCCAGACAUGUAUAUUUAACUAGCUAGUUGAUUACUAGGUAAAUGCCAAUCAUCUUUUAUUGUUGUAUAUACAGUCUAUAAUCCUUAACCCCUUCAUUGAUUACUUAAGGCUAUUUUCCUAUUUACCUUUUUGACACAAAUUCCAUUACAGGAAACUUCCGUUUUUCUCGGACUUUUCCUAUAUCAAUUUAGAGUUUCUCGGACUUUUACCCUGUCCGUAUCUAAUUUGUAAACAGAAAUGUCUACUGAAAUUUUUUCGAGAUUGACAUUUUCAAAAAGCGGAAGAUUUCAAAUUUUAACGGGAGGGACGGAAGAGGGUCUGAAAAGCGGGAGAUUUUAACUCCCGCCGGAAGAAUCACAUGUAUGCCUUUACAAGUGGAAAAAUUGAAGAAUUUUUAUGGCCCCGCAACAAAGUUGUCGGUGCCAUAUAGUUUUACCCUUGUCCGUAAUUCCGUAUUUCCGAAAUUCUGAAAUUCCAUAAUUCCGUCAUUCCGCAACAAACCACUAUACAGAGUUUUUUUCUAAACUCCUUCAGAUAUUGGACUGAUUUUUGGUAUGUGAGUUAACCAUGAUGAGUUACAGAUCAAGUUUAAGUUUCGUUCCGCUCCGCUAAUUUUUGCCAAAAUUACGGGCAUUGGACUUUGAUAAAUUUUUGAAAUCACAGUUAUAUGGAUUUUUUUUCUAAACGCUUUCAAAUAUUGGGAUGAUUUUUGGCAUGUGAGUUCACCAAGAUGAGUUACAGAUAAAGUAUAAGUUUUGUUCUGCUUGGCUAAUUUUUGCCGAAAUUAUGGGCUAUGGACUUGAGGGCCAUACCGUACCUAUAGUUGUUAAUGUCUGUGUCAUUUUGUGGACAGUUGUCUCAUUGGCAAUCAUACCACAUCUUCUUUUUAGCUCACCUGGUCCGAAGGGCCAAGUGAUCUUUUCCCAUCACUUUGCGUCCGUCGUCGUUAACUUUUACAAAAAUCUUCUCCUCUGAAACUACUGGGCCAAAUUAAACCAAACUUGGCCACAAUCAUCAUUGGGGUAUCUAGUUUAAAAAAUGUGUGGCGUGACCCGGCCAACCAACCAAGAUGGCCGCCAUGGCUAAAAAUAGAACAUAGGGGUAAAAUGGGGUUUUUGGCUUAUAACUCAAAAACCAAAGCAUUUAGAGCAAAUCUGACAGAGUAAAAUUGUUUAUCAGGUCAAGAUCUAUCUGCCCUGAAAUUUUCAGAUGAAUCGAACAACCCGUUGUUGGGUUGCUGCCCCUGAAUUGAUAAUUUUAAGGAAAUUUUACUGUUUUUGGUUAUUAUCUUGAAUAUUAUUAUAGAUAGAGAUAAACUGUAAACAGCAAUAAUGUUCAGCAAAGUAAGAUUUACAAAUAAGUCAACGUGACCGAAAUGGUCAGUUGACCCC
rnacentral:lncRNA from 1 species